AAACCAUGAGGUUAUCUGUGUGACAGACACAGAGAUGUGCUAUCCAGAUACUCCUUUCAAGGAGGAACUUGCUGCCUCCUGUUCAGUUCUUUCCUGGAGCUUUCAAGCCUCUUUGCAGGAAGUAACACCCUUCCUAGGGCAACCUGACUAAGCAAGGUGGGGGGAGAAGUUUAACGGGGAUGAGGCAUCCUGGAACAUCCAGGUGGCAACAUGGCGUAGGGCAAAUCAGAGAUGACUAUUUCUAGGCCAUGAAACACCAGCAGGAUCUAUGAUGGCUGAGAAAUGACAAUAUUGGUGAAUUAAGUACAUCUCAGGGAGAAGCCUUAUUAAAUUAGCCUAAUACCUUA